rnacentral:sRNA from 1 species
UGCGUCUCUCUUCUCUCUCUCUCUCUCG